AUGGAAGGAGGAUUGUCUCUCCCAAAUUUUAUAUUUUAUUACUGGGCCGCUAACCUCCGCAUUGUUACGUUUCUGCUGGAUGACGCACUUCCGGCAUCCAGCUGGCUUAGUAUGGAGCAAGAGUGUCACCCCUUCUCUAUUGGCGCUGUGAUUUUGUCACCUGUCAAUCUGGAGAUGUCACUUUAUUGUAACAAUCCUAUUAUAUAUACACAUAGCACAGUCCGAAUCUGGAAGCAAAUUAAAGUCCACUUUGAGCUUAGACCAAUGUCAUUCAUGCUCCCUGUCGCCAGGAAUCCCUCCUUUGCCCCUUCUAACCUUGAUAACACCUUUGAGCGAUGGGGAGAGUUGGGGAUAAGUACCAUAGGGGAUUUAUACAUAGAAGGGACCUUUGCUUCCUUUGAGUUGCUGAGGGAAACUUAUAACCUUCCCAGAAGUAAUUUUUUCAGAUACCUACAAAUUAGAGACUACGUUAGGAAACACCUCCCAACAUUUGGGAAUGCCAAACCUUCCAUGUUUGACGGAUGCAUAAAAAUAUGCCCCACCUCCGAUAAACUGAUAUCGCGUCUAUAUGAUGCUUUUCAAUCUGUUAGCACACCUUCCACUGAUGCCAUCAACGCAAAAUGGGAGGAAGAACUAGGGACUGACAUCUCGGUGGCAGACCGGGAAGAGAGCUUGGAGUAUAUCCACACAUGCUCCAUUAAUUCCAGACAUCGUCUCAUACAAUUCAAGGUUUUACACAGAUUACACUAUUCCAAAACUAAACUGCAUAGGAUAUUUCCUGACACAUCCCCUGUGAUAAAUGUCAGGCUACGCAGGGUACACUACUCCACUGCUUUGCCCUAUGCUCUAGCUUGCAUGGUUAUUGGAGUGGAAUUUUUGGGAUCCUCUCUGAAGUUUGAGACUUCAAUAGAUCCAGACCCGCUUCUGUUAAUCCUGGGAGUAUCUGAGUCCCUAAACGGAUUAACCAACCCCCAAAAACAACUAAUCUCGUACGGUCUCAUCUCGGUAAAAAAACUAAUCUUGUUGUUUUGGAAGAGGGAAGCGCCCUCUACCAAAUUAUGGCUCAGUGAAUUGGCAAACACUGUACACUUAGAAAGAAUUAGAUAUAUUCUGAACAAUAAAUUAUCAACAUUUGAUCAAAUCUGGCAGCCUUUCCUCUCCUACUUGGACGAGUCGGCGCUGUGA
rnacentral:lncRNA from 1 species